rnacentral:lncRNA from 1 species
CUUGAUUCUGUGAGUUAAGACCUGAUAAACUUUUAGACUCAAUUCUGAGAGGAAAAGCUAGUAUCGUUCAAAAAUUACAGGUCACCCACCAGAACAAUAUUAGUUGAACAUUGUUUCCAAGAUUAAUAAAGGACCUUUUGCAAAGAUGUAGAAAGAAUAUUCAAAUGUAGAAAAUCUUCCAAAUACGAAGCAGAGAGUUAAUGCCUCCUGAAUGCAUUUAAGUAGAAGCAUAUUAUUGUGCUUAUUUUAUUUGGUCUUUUUUAAUGUUUAUUUCUAACCGUCUACAUUGUGGGGCCAUUUAAUUUCUACAUGUUUGUAAGAAUACAAUAAGGUACAUGUAGUUAUCAAAGCAAUUUCGUUUUUAAAGAAGGCAGUGCUUCAAGUUUUUUUCUAAUUUUUUCUUAUAAAUACCAUUUUUAAAUUUGAGAUCAUGUCUGUGAGAUUUCAAGAUCAAACUAAUAUUACUGUUCCUUGCAAAAAUAACAUACUAUUAAAUAACUUAAAGGUAAUAUACAUUUUAACACCAAAAACUCCUCACUCAACAGUAUGGCUUGUCAAAAUGUUCCAAUUUAAUCUUUACUUAAGUGGACUUGUAGGGGUUUCUCAGACAUUAAGAUGGAACACUUUUUUUCUUUUUUAAAUAGAGAUGGGAUCUCUCUCUGUUGCCCGGGCUGAUCUUGAACUCCUGUCCUCAAGCAGUCCUCCUGCCUCAGCCUCCCAAAGUGGUGGGAUUACAGGUGCAAACCACCAUGCCAGCCCAAGCUUGAAGAAUUUUUUUUGAGACAGGUUCUCGCACUGUUACGUGGGCUGCAGUGCAGUGGUAACAGUCAUAGCUCCCUGCUCAUAAACUCCUUGGGGCUCAAGCAGUCCUUCUGCCUUACCCUUCCAAGUACCUGAGACCACAGUUUAUUUUUGUAGAGACAGGGUCUCGCUAUGUUGCCUAUGCUGGUCUGCAACUCCUUGGCCUCCGUAAGUACUGUACUUGCACCCAGCCAAGAUUGGAGAAUUUUAUACAGUUCUUACAAGAAGACUGAACUAUUAAAUAUCAAAAAACAUAUGGGACUGUGCUACAACUUCAGAAAGAUUAGCCUGAACAAUGAAGAGAGAAGUAUAGGCUGAAUUGAAAGAAAUGGAGGAGCCUAGUACAAUGAGCCUUCUAGAACGUAACUGAGAAUUUGAAUUUGGUCAUAAAAGCAUUAAAGGGAGGGGCUAAAGGGGAUGGCAUAAUCUGAUUUAUGGUGAAUGGAUAGAUGGGGGCAAGAGUGCAGUUAGGAAGGUGAUCAGUCAAGAGUUUAUGGAGACUUGGAGUGAGGUUGCAGCAUUAUCCAACCUAAAAGCUUGUUUCAGCUAUAGAGUUCACCACAAUCUUAAUUCUUAAUCUUGGAAGAUUCUGAAUUUUUAAAGUCAUUGUCUUAUAAGUUGUGAACAACAAAGAGUGUAACUCAGCAAAUUUAUUUCUUCGGUGGUUAUACAAUCUUCAGCCAGCAGUAAGUCACUUGGGAAACUCAUGACCAAAAUGUUCAUGAGCUAUUUUGGGGGACCAGUUCUCUAAGUCAGCAGACCUAGAAACUCUCCAGCCCUGGUCCUAAAUAUAAGAGUAAUUAGUCAUUGCCUUUAAUACAAUUAUGCAGAUAAAACUGGGGUUAUUAGAAGUCUGCAUACUUAGAAAUGAAACAUUAGGAGGUGCUACCUCAGAUCUUGAGCCUAUUAUGUUACAUGGCUAACAUUAAAACUUUACCGACAGUAGAAAUUUGUUGUUCCUCUCAGAGCAGUUAGCUAACAAAUCCACAUGUGGCUUCUGGUUAAUGUAUUAGGCAUUUCUGGACUGUUGGACUGAAGAGAAAAUCAUAGUGAUAUUCUAGACAUAUUUGUUGAGCUCCCCCUUUGUGCAGGGAACUAUGUACUGUGUACUAAGAAUAGAUAUAAAUAAGAUUUGAUCCCUACCCUCAAGAAGCUUAUUGUUCAGUGGGAGAAGCAGAUAAGUAUACUGGGUGUAAGUACCAUAAUACACAAAAUCUUUAGGUAUAUGCAGGAAAAACAUAGAGUAGUGGGAGAUUAAGGACUAGUAGAGGCAGUUUUCAGGAUUUUUUUUUUGUGUGAGAAUUAAGCUAUAAGAGGCAAAGGAACAUCUAAGCCCAAUGGAAGCAGAUUUUUAAAGUAUGAGUAGCUCCCAUGGCCAAAACUGGAACAAUUUGAACAACGAAAUGAAGUAACAUGGAAUUAUAACCCAAAGUAUAAAAUAAAUAUGUGAAUCCAUGUUGAUAUAAACAAAUGAUUGAAUAAAUAUAUAGAGAAGAGACAAAUUUUCCAUGAAGAAUUCCAAAUAAUUUAUGUAGGUAAAUCAAAGAGAUGGAGCAUAACUUUCCACUCCAGUAUGGUCUCUGCUUAUUGACUUCCCUCCCAAAGAGUACAAUAUGGAAGAGGAGAAAAAAAGAGUCAAUUUAAAAUUGAGAAGCCUUACAAAGACUACCUUGGCCAGGUGAUCAAGGUCAACAUCCAAAGUGCCUGAGAAAAACACCAGAUGAAUCCCUGUUGAGAGACAACCUGCUAUAGCAGGGGUCUCCAACCCCCAGGCUGCAGACUGGUACCAGUCCGUGGCCUGUUAGGAACCAGGCCGAACAGCAGGAGGUGAGUGGUGGGUAAGUGAGCAUCACUGCCUGAGCUCCGCCGCCUGUCAGAUCAGUGGCGGCAUUAGAUUCUCAUAGGAGUAUAGUCCCUAUUGUGAACUGCACAUGUGAGGGAUCUAGGUUGCAUGCUUUUUAUGAGUAUCUAAUGCCUGAUGAACUGACAUGGAACAGUUUCAUUCCCAAACCACUACCCCACCUCUGAUUGUUUCAGCUAAUAGAGUUCUCCACAGUUAAUCUUGGAAGAUUCUUAAUUUUUAAAGUCAUUAUUGAGUUUCCAUAGACGUCUGGUCUAUGGAAAAACUGUCUUCCACGAAACUGGUCCCUGGUGCUAAAAAGGUUGGGGACCACUAUACUAUAGUACCUGAUACUAAAUACCACAAAUUAGUUCUUCAA